CCUGCGGAAGGAUCAUUACCUAGAGUUGUAGGCUUUGCCUGCUAUCUCUUACCCAUGUCUUUUGAGUACCUUACGUUUCCUCGGUGGGUUCGCCCACCGAUUGGACAAAUUUAAACCCUUUGCAGUUGAAAUCAGCGUCUGAAAAAACUUAAUAGUUACAACUUUCAACAACGGAUCUCUUGGUUCUGGCAUCGAUGAAGAACGCAGCGAAAUGCGAUAAGUAGUGUGAAUUGCAGAAUUCAGUGAAUCAUCGAAUCUUUGAACGCACAUUGCGCCCCUUGGUAUUCCAUGGGGCAUGCCUGUUCGAGCGUCAUUUGUACCUUCAAGCUCUGCUUGGUGUUGGGUGUUUGUCUCCUGUAGACUCGCCUUAAAACAAUUGGCAGCCGGCGUAUUGAUUUCGGAGCGCAGUACAUCUCGCGCUUUGCACUCAUAACGACGACAUCCAAAAGUACAUUUUUACACUCUUGACCUCGGAUCAGGUAGGGAUACCCGCUGAACUUAAGCAUA
rnacentral:rRNA from 1 species